CUGUGGGAACCCGAGGACUCUGCCUGUCCCUCCAGCCCUAAACAGGUGCAGGAACCUGGGCGGCUAACUGUCGUCACAACUGCUCCUGGCUCUGGCUUCUAGCCAGCCUAGGGAGGGAGAAGCCAUGGGGAGGGUCAAGUCCAAGGCUAAGGAACCCAGUGGCCCCUCUCCCCAGAAUAGGGCCUGCUUUGUCUGAGCCUGCAGCCUGUACAGUGCCCAGCACAUAUCACAUGCUCAAAGUUUGUGGCUAGAAAGCAGGUAAACUUUGCAAGACUCAAAGGUAGUUUCUCCUUCACCUAUCUUAGCUAGAAGCACAUUGGCAGAACCUCAAAGAGAUGCCAGGGGCUUGUGUGGCCUGGGAGGCCUUCAGCAAAUAUUUCUCAAGUGAACCCAAGGUGAAGAGCAGAUGUACUUGGUGCCUGAGGAAGUGGUAUUUACAGGUCUGGAAUUUUGUCUAGACCCAGGAGGGCAGAAUCAAGGAAGGCAGAGCUGAGACAGCAGCCGUAGAGUGCCCCUGCCAUACCAAUGCCUAAAGAUUCUAGGCCUGGGGUGCCAGUGGGUAAUAGGCAAGGCCAGGGCAGGGCUGCGCCAUCAUGUUUAUUAGAAGGUUGGAUUUCAGUGUGUGUGUGCUCUAGACAGAUUACAGAAUAAAUACCUGUCUCUUGAGAACAGAAGUCCAAGAUUCAUACAAGGUGCUCACUAUAGGAAGGAGCGCUAUCAAAAUCCAGGUAGGACCCAAAUCUGGGCCACCCUCCUCCACUGACCUCAAC